UGUCCCUGCAGAUCAGAGAGAGACUUGGGUCUCACUAUGCGGCCCGACUGGCCUUGAAGUUUGGCCUCAAGUGAUCCUCCUGCCUCAGCCUCCCAAAGUGCUAGGAUUACACAGCCCUCGCCCCUCGGGUCCCUUCUGCCCUUGUGGGAGUUGCCAGUCCUCCUAUCCUCCCAGUACAAAGCUGGCUUCCACUUCUGCGGGGGCUACCACAUCAGCGAGGACUGGGUGGUCACCGCUGCCCACCAGGGGUCAGGAAAAGGGUCGGAAAUGAACUGCAGGCUGGGGAACCAGCACCCCCAUCCCCCGGCCACAGGCAGAGCCGCCUCUGCAGGUGACACCCACCCCAGGCCGUGCACCCCACCUCCACCCUCGCAGGCCACCCAGACGGCAGCUUGGGGAAACCUGGGAGGUCCCGUACCCUCACUGUGCAGGCACCCCCAUGAGCCCAGGCACCGCCUGCCACCCUCACUCUCCAGGAAGAGCCACCGCGUGGUGGCCGGGAUCGUGUGGUGGCCAGGGCGUCUGACCUUGGCUCUCACCCGGAGGCCAUCCAGGUGCUGAGGAUGGCUAACGCUAAGGCCACACAGCCAGGGAGAGGAGGUGGCUCGUGACACCACGAUGGGACACACCCACCUCUGGGAGAGGAGGGUGACUCCGACAGCCCUUGCCUGCCAGGAUGGAGCCUGGACUCUGGAGGGCAUCGUGUCCUGGAGCAGCACCAGCACCUCCUGUUGUCACCAGGCGUGGAUGCCCGCAUCAUGAAAUUCAUGCCUGGGAAGGCGUGGAGGCCGAGACCACCCCCCCUACCCCGCAUCUGUGUAAAACACAAAUAAAGCCAUUGAGAGCAACUGCAUACACCUU
rnacentral:lncRNA from 10 species